UGUUCGUAACGGGGAGGCCUGUGGUGUCUUUUCGCUGCUCAGGGCUGACAACCACGUCAGUCCAAACGCUCGGUAGCGGCGCUGCGAGGAAGGAGAGGUGCGGAGGGUGCGUGGAGAGGCCGAGGCCCAGCACAGGCCCUGAAGGGAAAGGGGUGUUCCCUUUAGGCCUGUGCCAGGCCCCGGCCUCACCUGCCUUUUUCCGUCACCCUCUGCAUGCUGCGAGGCUUACAGGAGGGCCCUGAAACCUGCCCGACCUUUUCGCCAUCAUCCACUGUGCCUGGGGCGGUUUUGAUCUUAAACUGCUGUGGCCUGGGCCUGCCCCAUUGUCAGAAAAAAACAUCCCUGAUGAACAUCUGAUCAUGAAUAAAUGGAGGUUUGCGGAAGGUCAUAGCAUGACAAAACAGAUGUUCCCAGAAUGCCUAAAACAACCCAGAUCACUCAGAUGGUGAAGCUGAAGUUCGUGUUCAGGCGCAUCAGUUUAACUACAAAAGGAGCCACAAAAUGCAGUGUAUCUUCCUUCAGUGACGUGUGAUGGAAAUUUCCUGGCACCACAUUAUCGCUGGCAACAGGAGACAGCAUGGAGCAGCCUUCACAGCCGUCUUUCAACCAAGAAGAUGAGUAAACCUCAUGUGCAGAGCUCGGAAGAUGAGAGGAAAACAUCCAUGUUACAAGGAGGAUUAUUACACAUAGCGCAAAAAAAGAAGUGCUAAGUGUAUACACACACACAAGCACUUUUCUACAUUUAAAAACUUAGAUGCGAAAGUCUACGGACAUCCCAGCUUCAGGUGGAGUGCUGUAUCUGUUCCACUGUUCUGCUUCUCCUGGUGUUUACCUUCACUCACAGGGAGAUGAAAUCAUACUAUAAAUAGAGGACAAAGUCCACUUUCAAGCAUUACCCGAUAAAGUCUCCUGUUUGACAUGACAAUA